rnacentral:rRNA from 1 species
UACAGAGGAUGCAAGCGUUAUCCGGAAUGAUUGGGCGUAAAGCGCGUGUAGGCGGCUCGAUAAGUCUGCUGUGAAAGUUCAGGGCUCAACCCUGAAAUGCCGGUGGAAACUGUCGAGCUAGAGUACGGAAGAGGUGAGUGGAAUUCCUGGUGUAGCGGUGAAAAUGCGCAGAUAUCAGGAGGAACACCAAUGGCGAAGGCAGCUCACUGGGACGUUACUGACGCUGAGACGCGAAAGCGUGGGGAGCAAACAGG